UACGGAGGAUCCGAGCGUUAUCCGGAUUUAUUGGGUUUAAAGGGUGCGCAGGCGGGAGAUUAAGUCGGUGGUGAAAUUUUGCGGCUCAACCGUAACAGUGCCAUUGAUACUGGUUUCCUUGAGUGUGGAUGAAGUAGGCGGAAUUUGUGGUGUAGCGGUGAAAUGCAUAGAUAUCACGAGGAACUCCGAUCGCGUAGGCAGCUUACUAAACCAUAACUGACGCUCAUGCACGAAGGCGUGGGGAUCAAACAGGAUUAGAUACCUCGGUA
rnacentral:rRNA from 1 species